GACGGGGGAUGCAAGCGUUAUCCGGAAUCACUGGGCGUAAAGCGUCUGUAGGUGGUGAUGCAAGUCACUGGUGCAAAACUCUGGCUCAACCGGAGGAAAGCCAGUGAAACUGCAUGACUAGAGUGUGGGAGAGGUAGAAGGAAUUCCCUGAGUAGCGGUGAAAUGCGUAGAUACAGGGAAGAACACCGGAGGAGAAAGCGUUCUACUGGUUCACAACUGACACUGAGAGACGAAAGCUAGGGGAGCGAAUGGG
rnacentral:rRNA from 1 species